rnacentral:rRNA from 1 species
AACGAACGCUGGCGGCAGGCUUAACACAUGCAAGUCGAGCGCCCCGCAAGGGGAGCGGCAGACGGGUGAGUAACGCGUGGGAAUCUACCCAUCUCUACGGAAUAACGCAUGGAAACGUGUGCUAAUACCGUAUACGUCCUUCGGGAGAAAGAUUUAUCGGAGAUGGAUGAGCCCGCGUUGGAUUAGCUAGUUGGUGGGGUAAAGGCCUACCAAGGAGACGAUCCAUAGCUGGUCUGGGAGGAUGAUCAGCCACACUGGGACUGAGACACGGCCCAGACUCUUACGGGGGGCAGCAGUGGUGAAUAUUGGACAAUGGGCGCAAACCUGAUCCAGACAUGCCUCGUGAGUCAUGAAGGCCCCAGGGUUGUAAAGCUCUUGCACCGGUGAAGAUAAUGACGGUAACCUUAGAAGAAGCCGCGGCUAACUUCGUGCCAGCCGCCGCUGUAACAC